rnacentral:rRNA from 1 species
UACGUAGGCAGCGAGCGUUGUUCGGAGUUACUGGGCGUAAAGGGUGUGUAGGCGGUUCUUUAAGUUUGGUGUGAAAUCUCCCGGCUCAACCGGGAGGGUGCGCCGAAUACUGAGGGACUUCGAGUGCGGGAGAGGAAAGUGGAAUUCCCGGUGUAGCGGUGAAAUGCGUAGAUAUCAGGAGGAACACCGGUGGUGUAGACGGCUUUCUGGACCGUAACUGACGCUGAGACACGAAAGCGUGGGUAGCAAACAGG